rnacentral:lncRNA from 1 species
UCAUUUUUUUUGCAGGUAAUAUUGGGUGGAAGCCUUCAGGGACGAGGAGUGAAUAAGAACCAGGGAUUAGGUUAAGGAAUGAGCAAUAUAAAGCUAAUGCAGUGUUAUUAUAAAUGUGUAAUAUCUAUAUUUAUAUUUCACGAGUGUUGUGUCAGUGAUUUCUAUACUUAUUUAAAUUGCUUAUGGCGAUGUGAAAUUCUACCUUAAAGACAUGUCAUUAAUGUGUAUAACUGUAUUUUUAGUUCAAAUGUUUUACUUUACCAAUUCAUGCCCUUGUGUUUUACUUGUUGGCUCGAUAUCUACUCUUAGAACAAAUAGUGCUCAUUGUCAAGCUUAUUUUCCAUGCCUUCCUUUCUAGAUUUGGAGGGAAUGCAACAUCUGGCCCCAUUGCUAGGAAUCUCAACCAGGAACUGUAUUUAGUGAUGGUCCAUCUAUACUAACUUUUCUGUAUUAAUUCUCUUGUUUCUUAGAAACUUUUUGAAAACAUUUAGUGUCUUAUUAUUCAACUAGUAUACCCUUUACACUUAAGUUUUCUACAUUUAAAGCGUAACUGAACUAAAAGUUUUAAUAUUUAACCAAAAAUAUCAUCAAAUUGCCGUUUCACUCUGGUUUUCAAUUCCAUUUCAACUUAUGUCUAGCUUGAAUUUAUGGGUCAUAUAUUAGCUUUUAAACAUCAGAACACUGGGCUAGGCCCGUUUUCCUCUCAUGCGUUUCAAUUUUCAAAACAAGAAUAUUCAAAAGGAAGUUAUCAUUUUCAACACGUAAAUGUGUGUUAUGACAGAACAACAUCCAGUGAAAAGUUAAGUUGGUGCUUGGUUAAGAUCGUCAAAACAUCCCAAAUUUUUAAUCAUACAUAAAAAAAAAAGAACAGAAAAUUCAUGUCAUUAUAGAGAACAAUGAUACAUUAGCUCCACAACACAAACAAUUCUUCUGCAACAAAAAAUAAAAACAAGUAUCAAACACAAGCAAAAGAUUAUAUAUAUAUAUAUAUAUAUAUAUAUAUAUCUCUUUUUCUCUCUUUGUUUGUGUGGAGUAAGUUUCAUGAACUAGAGCAUAGCAAGCUGCUGGAUAUCAUAAGGGUGAGCAUCAGAUGGAGAUUCUCUCCUAAAUGAUCGACUACCGAUCACGAUAUUCGCUGCUUCUCCCGGAUGAAACGCGUCCCAGAACACAAACUCAUCCCUGUUCAGACAUGGAGCUUGACCUGGAAGACAAGUUAUCUGUCCAUUGUUCCUCCCUACUCCACAACAUCCCGCGUUCGUCACCCUAAACCCUGAAACCAUUAAUGUAAACUAAUCAAAAAAAUGUUUCAGGCAACUACAAAUCCCAUCGUGUUAUGGUUUAAGAAGGUGAGACUCUUACCAUAGCGAGAAGGAUUAGCUACCAUGUCUUGGAAGAUACCAUAAGCAUUGAUGUAAGUGAACUUAGCGUCUCGUGUGUUUUGGUUGAAAUAGUCCACCAGAGACACGAGCUUGCUGUUGAAGAUCCUGUUUGCUGAGUUGAUCCUUUCGUCACAAGUCGUCCCGUCUCUGCUGUUCUGCGCCAGCUCGUUAGGGCUACAUCCUAUUGCGCCGAUACCAAUUAACGCAAACUUCCUCGCUCCAUUGUUAUACAAUAUCUACUCCAAACCAAACAAAAAAACAGAGGAAACAGAGUAUAUAUAAACAUUAGACACAAAAACAGAGGAAACAGAGGAUAUAGCACGAGUAAAUGAACGGACCCUGAGUUGCUCGGUGUAUCGGUUGAUUAGAUCGUUGGCAAAGGAAUCUGGAGAGUACUGGUUACCGGUGGAGUAGUAUAGAGGCAUAAAGUAGUUGUUGAGAUAGUCGUUACUUCCCAAACCGAUCGAGUAGAUGCAUUUACUUAGGUAAUUAGCAGCUUCGUUCUCGUCUCCGAGAAUGUUCACCACUUGCGACACAGUGUUCACGUGAUUAGCUACUUGCCCUGCAAACGUUAUUCUAGCUCCCUGAAACCAAACAAAAGUGGAAAGACAGUUAUGCUUCCUAGUCAAGAAACUUAAACCCUAAAAGUGAUUGAAUGACUUACCAGCUGACGGCCGGUUUCUUCUCGGACUCCGGCAGCUGCAGAAGCGUAGUUCACUCCUCGUAGGAUGUCUUCCCCGCUUGCUUGAGAAUAUGGUGUAAUGUAGUCAUCGAAACCAAGAAGCUCAGCUUUUCAACGAAAACACAACAAGUUAGUUGUUUUUUUUUGUUUUCAGUAACAUGUUUUUUUGGACAAAAUAAGAAAUAACAGAAAAAGGGUGUUGUUAUAAGAUUACUGAUGACAUCGACGGUUGUUUUGCCGUUACAGAACCUGCCGGUUGGACCAAACUGGAAGUCGAUGCCGUAAGGGAAGUAGUCAGCUCUUGCUAAGGACUGAAGCUGAUUGUUGUUUCCACUAUCAACCAAAGAAUCACCAAAUAUGAAGUAACACGGUGCUAUUGGUUCACCUAUAGCCACGUUCAAGACCAUAGCUACUACCAUCAUCAUAAUCAUUACACAAACUCUAGCCAUCUCUCUGGAAAAACCUUAUCCGGUAAAAGAGAGAGAGAGUGCGUGAAGAAGAGGAGAGAGACUUGUCUGAGAACGUGAAGAAUGUAAAUGGGUGUAUAUAAUAGAGGUCAGAAGAAUAUGGAGGGAAUUACAAAAGAACAAUAAAAAAAAAAAAAGUUUUGAGCUUUUGAUAGUUGGAGAAGCAUUUAAUGUCACGCGGUGAUAAUGUUUUGUGUAGAUAUGUAAAGUAACUCUAUAAAUAUGGAUCUAGAAACAGAAAGAGUGUAGCAGAGUUAUUAAUACUCUGUUUCUUAAAGUACUCAGGGCCAACUUGUAUGUAAUGUGAUAAGUCUGUUAUUACACUUUGCCAGAAAAAUUAAGAAACUUUAUCUUAAGAGGGAACUACAUGUUUCAAUCAUGAUUGGAUUGUUGAUGGGUUAUUAAAGUAUUAGGAAGUUGAUAUUUGAAACCAAGAUUGAGAUGGUGACAAUGACUUCUUUUUUUUGCUAACAUUUGGUGCAAUGGUGACAAUGACUUACUCUUUUGUUUAGCUUGUUUUGCUAUAGAUGGCAAAUUGUAAUAAAAUCAUGAGAUGUGAGUGAGGGCCACUUGCAUAAUCUUGAUCAUGUGUCCUGUGUCCUGGGAUUGUGGCUAUCUAACGGUUAAGACUUAUCAUGGUUGGCUUUGAGGGUGAGGUAUGGAUGUAUGUAUUAAUGGAGGUAGAUGGAAGAAACAUUAAAUGGGAAGAGGAAGAGACACUAUGGCAUGAAGAUCAUCAUCAUGAUAAAUAAAAUAUGGUAGUUGGAGUUCAUAAAUUCUUUGUCUUUGUUCAUGCUUCUUGUUCAGUGAUAAAUAAACAAAGUAAUCACUUUGGGACACAGAUUCAAGUUUACUGUACUUAGUAGCCACCAAACGAAUUAACAAAGACGAAAUUAAAAUAGGGUUGGUAAAUAAUGAAGAUAGAAUGGAGCAUUUAAAGAAUGAUAAAUGAAGUUGUUGUUAUAAUGUGACUUUGAAGUUUUGAAGUCAGAGGUACAUAAAUUUGAAGCAUGAUCUUGUGGGGUUUUGGAACAGGGUAAGUUAGUUAAGCAGCCACUCUGGAUUCUUUACCAAAAUAAAGAAACCAUUCAAAAAAAAAGAAAAAAAAAGAUAAGAACAGAAGAAAUGAUCAUGUCUACACCAACCACAUGCAACUAUUUAUGAACACUACAAAGCAUGAGUGUCAUUUAACACUGACAAUUCAUUUGUUUUAUCAAGAAAAAUGAUAAGUUUAUUAAUGUAGAUUCUUUCUAGCAUCUUCUUGGUGAAUUAACAGUUUAGAUAUCACAAUCAGGAUUUAAGAGCUUUGGGGUAAUGUUUUUCACUAGACUACUCGACUCGUGACACAAUCGAUAGCAACACUUGCACUUGAGGCAUAGGAAGCCAUGUUGCUUACUUGAAUCACACGGUGCGAUUGGCUUGUCUUCAAAGCUCCAUAAACCGCCUCUUUUUUCAUUUGGGAGUCCAUAUAGCUGCUACUUCAGAGUUGUAAACAUCAUGGAAUGCUUUAUUAGCGUUCUAUGAUGUGCUUUCUUCCAUUACUUUAUGUAUCUCCUUCCUACAAUAAAAAAAAAACAAAACUUACUAGCUAAACAACCGAAAACCUGUACUUGUAGUUUGGUGGUGAUUAACUUAAGGGCAAAAACCCAAUACAGUGAAACCACCAAGAUUCGAAUCCUAGCCACUAGGAAAUUAACAUUUCGGCAUCACCAGAGACAAAUAACCGAUAUGUGACUAGUCUAGACCACUUCUGUAGGGUCAUGAUACCCAUGUAUAAUUCAAAAAAAAAAAACCAAGACAAGAAAACGUAAACAGUUACUCAGGAGAGAUAUGGAACCAUACUUUAGUCAAAACUACAAAUAUCACUUGUUUGAUUCAAGAACUGAUGAAGAAGAUCAAUUGAACUCACUGAUAAUUCCUGCAGGGGGAAUCCCAGGAGAUUCAAUACAAGUUACAUAGCGCCAUUACUGUUCUGAUUGAAGAUUUUUUAUAAAAGGAACGGUGCAAAUUGAUUCAGGGUUUAUAGAUUCGAAUUCGAGUGAUGAUUGAUAAUUCAGAAGAAGCAAUUUGGUAAGCCGAGGCAAUUCUGUUAAUUUAAUUACUACACCGACUAAUAACCGAAACAAUUUUGGUUAAAAUUUUAAGUCAACCUGAUGAUUUAGAAUGUAUAUAUUGGGCUUUUAAAUUAAAUAUGGGCCUCAUUUGAACCAUUUUCAGCAUUGCUUAUUGCUUGCUAAUUGUUUAUGACUGAGCAAGUUGGAGUUCCUCGGUCACUCGGUGUCUGAUUAUCUAGGAGACUAGGACAUAUGAUCUACUAUUGUUUUAGUAAACCAAAGCAAGUUGGUUUAACCCCAUUGUUAAAUGAUUAGACCGUGUAUGUCUUCAAAAAAAAGACCUUUUAUAUACAUAAAGGUGGGCAUCACUCUUUGACUCUUUCUAUUUCUUUUUUUGGUCAAAGUAGCAUAAGUUUAAGAAAGACUUCUCUUUUACAUAUGAUACAUAACAAAUGGAGUAUAUUUUAAUCAUCUAUAAGUUUUACUUGAAUUGAUCAUUUAAAUUUUAGUUCUACAGUAUUAGAUUUCAUUUUUUAGAGUAUGUGAUCCGUGAUAUUGAUUCCGUUGAUUAGGACGAUUUGAGGUGUUUCAUUUUAGUACAUGAUGACUAUCGUCUAUGACCAUCUCCAAUCAGGGGCGGAUCCAAGAUGAGUUUUAGUAUGGGACAAUUGCACAAAGCUAUUUUCUGAUAAUUCAAAGCUUAUUAUAGAUGUAGUUGAUUAAAUUUAGUAUUUUCUCCGUUUUAAAAUGAUCUAUAUUUUAGAAAAAAAUUAUUUCUAAAAGAUUCUUAUUUUACUUUUUCAAUGUAUGUAAUAAUGGUAAAUUUUAAAUUUCAAAGACAUUAAUUGUAUUUACUAAACUUAGAUUAGUUAAAAAUCAUAGAAAACAACUAAACACGGAAAACAAUGCAUCUAUUGUCAAAAUAUUACGUAUUUUUUUUAAUAAGUGUGAAAGCUAUAGAAUAUACAAUAUUUUAAAACGGAAGGAGUGUUAGUUAUUAAUGAGAAAAAGGUAAAGUGUGGCACAUGCCACACCUCCUCAUGCCUUUUGGGUCCGCCCCUGUCUCUAAUGAUACUCUAUAAUUUAUUAAGUAUAUCACUUUAAAAUAUAGUAACUUUAUUAUGGAACUUGAUUUGUUAUAAUGAUUUACUCUAUAAUAAAAUUACUCUAUAUUAGAAUAGAAUAUAGAGAUAUGUUGUUUUUUUUACUUUAAAUUUGAAGUAAAAAAACAUUAUUUUGGAGAUGGUCUUAUAGAAUAACUCUAUUAUAGAGUAAAUCACUAGAGCAAAUCAAACUUUAUCAUAAAGUUACUCUAUUUUAGAGUGAAAUAUAGAAAAAAUUAUAGAAUACUAUUAGAGAUAUUCUAAGACAGAAAAUCGAACAAUGUUCAUUGUAUCUUUGUGAACUUGAAACUAGGCGGUUGAUUAUACCAUUAAAAAAUGUAGAUCACUCUUUCAAAGAAUGUUAGACCUAGGAAUAUAACUGACUCUGUACACAGUUGCUCUUAUACCAUUAAAAAAUGUAGAUCACUCUUUCAAAGAAUGUUAGACCUAAGGCGCAUGGAUUUCCAAUUUAGUUACUAUGUACUCCCUCCAUUUCAAAAUAAUACAUAUUUUAAGAUUUUCACGCUUAUUAAAAAAAAAAGUUUUAGUUAUUAAUGCAUAAUUUUUUGUAAUUUUAUAUUUCUUAUAUUUCUAAACCAAUAAGACUUCAAGAAAUGCAAUUAUUGUUCUUGAAGUUUAUAAUUUUUGAUUAUUAGUUGACAAAAAAUGCAUUAGAAAUAUAAAAAACACAUUUUCUUAAACAAAAUUUAUUUCCAGAAUAUGUAACUUUUUGAAAAAGAGGGUUUUCUAGACUUACAUGUGUCUAGUUGAAGAAUAGGUGUAAAUAGAUAUUAACAGAUUCUAGCAAGACCAAAAAAAAAGGGAACUCUUCUCUAUUAAAAAAAGAACUCUAGGGAAAAUUAACAUCAACGUCCAUGUGACUAAGAAGAUUCCAUACAAAUUGGUAUAUAUAGCUAACACUUUGUCUCUAUCUCCACUUCUCCCCAAUUAAGUUGUAUUAAUAUCAUGUUAAACCAUUUGUAAUUAAUCAAGGCACACAAUCUAUGAUUCAUGCAUGAUAUGACUAUAAACAUAUGAUAUAUGAAAAAGAGAAGAAAAAUGCAUCUAAUGCACCGGAUUGCAUAUAUAUACGCUUAUUUGAAAUUCAUUAAGGGGUUACUAGCACUAAUGCACUGAAUCCCAUAAAGCUCUAGCCAAGAAAUAGCAUUUUUUUUUUUGCUAAACAGAAAUAGCAAAGAUUUUAAAUAACAAAAUGUAUAGAUGGAAAUGAUAGCAUGAUAAUAUAUAGUUGUGUAAUGAUAAUUCAUAUAUAGGAAACAAUGGUAACAUAUAAAAUGACAUUACGUACAUAGUGUUAAACAAUUAUAUUUUUGAACAAACCAUAUAUUCAUUAACUUAAAAGGCUGCAAAGUUGAUUUUGCAAGAGAGAAUCAGCCUCAACAUUACGAAGUCGCGGAACAAAUUUAAAAGAGAUAGAAACAAGGGAUCUAGAGGGGAUAUGAAUAUCAUGAAAAAUGCCUUGGAUGUCCAUAAGCUUAUCUUUCGAAGACAAAGCUGAGAUAAGGGUUUUGGAGUCUGACCAGAUAGUGAUCGAACUAAACCCUGCCGACACUGCAUCUGAGAGAGCAGUUUUGACCGUAAGAACUUAUGCAACUAGGUCAGAGCCGACAUGGCUGCGGUUUGGAGACAUAGACCAUGAAACACCAGAGAUAGGAUCGUUAAUGACCCAACCAAACCCACCAAGUUGUGACGCCAAACUCCAUGCUGCAUCUACAAAACACUGUGGUUCCGCGGGCAAAGUAUUGGGUUGGUUAGACUUACUGGUAGUUAUCGGGAGAGAGAAGGGGGCCUUGCAUUGUUGAGCAUUCUGCCAUGGGCGUGCUUCCUUGAUAGCCAAGGUAGCCACUUCCUGUUCAGAGAGCAGAACAUUUUCAAAACAUAACUUAUUCCUUGCAGUCCACAGGUACCAAAGGACCCAGGGAGACAGGGCAGCAUCCGGUAUGAGUUGUGUGGUCGAGUUGACAUUGAUAGACGAUGGCAUAUGAAGAGCUGGGAUGAGAUUCCACACGCGGUUAGCAAAAGGAUACUCGAGGAAGAAGUGGAGGUCUGUCUCAUGUUGCCCACAAUGUUUGCAUCUGAUAUCGCCAGAGAGACCUCUCCCUGCCAGGUUCAAUCCAACUGGAAUGGCACCGUUUUGAUUUUCCAGAGAAGGUGUUUCAGUUUUAACAUUCAAGAUGCAUGCUUCCCAGUUGAAUUCCAAGUUAGGCGAUUCAGAAUUGAUUUCAGGAGCGCAUAUCCUGAUUUAGUGGAAUACUUUCUAGACUAUGAGGCGAGCCAGACUAUAUCAUCCUGCAUAUGAAAGGAGCUUGGAAUAAUCAGUCUAAUUUGAUCCUCAUACUGAGGUAAACAAUUAGUUCACCUUUUUAUCAAAGAAAACAAUGGUUUCACUUUCGAAAUGUAAAGUAAGAAUGUUGUUUAUGUUUUUUUCUUAAUACUAGCAAAGCAGUAUGCACCAAGAUCACAAAGCAGGAUACGUAAAACUAGCAAACUAAUUAUUUGAGUUUGUAUGUAUUUGGAAUGGUUUCAAAUUAUGAGUAUCCAACAUCUGAAAUUAUCGAAGGGACCACUAGGAGUAGGAACCACACUUGUCCAAAAAUAUCCUAAGUUUUGUCAAGUCAUUGUCUUUAUGAUGAGAUUAUUUGCAUCUAUCAAAUGCCCCAAUUCGUCCAAUGUCCAAUUCACUCGACUCUAUCUGUCUACCGUUCUGUUCACUUUGAUUGUCUCUUUUCACUUUUAAGAUUUGUAGUAGGAUAAGCACAAAAUUUGAUUUCACCGAAUUGUUCCAACAUUAAAUCAUAUAAUAAAUAAUGGUGUGUGCAAUAAUGCAUUUACGUACCGUGUUUGUUUUGUUGUGAACACGUAAAAACGUAAAUACAAAACUACUAUACAUCUUAAAACGAAUUGUUUUGUUUUGUUGUGAACACGUAAAGACACCACUAGUCAUAUAAAUAUCUAUACUACAAAAAUACAAAAAGGAGCAUAUAACAAUAACUUGUGCCAUCCUAAUUUGAAGUAUUGUUUUCUGAACAAAGAAAAAUCUUUUUAAUCAUUGGACAUUUCAAAACUAUUACCUAACUAAAGCCUGAUAAUUUGUAUACUUUUGAAUUACCACUUAAAUACAUUUUUUUUGUUUACUUAAAGUUUGAUAUACUUCCCAUUCAAUAUUUCAAUAUUUGGUUUGUUUUGUUUGCUUUGCACUAAAUGCAUUUAUUUCGUUUGUUUUGUUUCACACCUAUCAAUCAUUCUCUAAUUUUAGUUUUGUAAGAUUUAACAACUAUAUGAUCAAAAUCACAAAAGAAAAUUUUGCCUCAACCAUCGAAGGUUCCUAACUCUAUGAUGGUUUGAUGGAAUCAAUCAUUUUCAGUAACCCUUUUUGUUAUAUGUACCCCUCAAGGCAUGUCUUGCUCACUAAUAAUCGUGUCUCAAUUAAUAAAAUCUUGCUUUUGCGACAACUUCACGGAUAAAUUUUUUUUGUCAAGAAAAUAUAACUAAAUAACUCAAUAAAUUUUAAAUUUUCUUUGGAAUCACUCAACCAAACCCAGAGAAAUAUCAAAGAAGUUCUGUUAUAUUUCAAGAAGUUCCUCAAUAUUUUACUUUUAAUAACUUACUUGAUAUUUUUAAUUUAUUGAGUUAUUUUGUUAUAUGAUUGAAAGAUUAACUUCAUUACAACUUCAUGCCGUACUAACUUAAUACUCCCUCCGUUUUUUAAUAUAAGUCGUUUUACAGCUAUGCACAUAGAUUAAGAAAAUCAUUAAUUUUUUAUAUUUUCUAAAUAAAAACAUCAUUAAUUAUUUACCUAAUCACAUUUCAACCAAUAGAAAAAUAGAAGAUAUAUUAUCAUUGGUUAGACAGCAUUAAUUAUUAAUAAAUUUUACAUAGAAAACCGAAAACGACAUAUAAUUUGGAACAAAAAAAUUUCUCUAAAACGACUUAUAUUAAAAAACGGAGGGAGUAGUUUGUAUAGCGCGUUAAUAAUAAUCAUACACACAGUUUGUUUCCUUUAGAAUCAACAUUAAUAUGCAGUUUUAACAAUUUAGAAGAUGACUUUUUAAGCCACAUUUGAUUUUUUCCCUUUUUCUUCUCCGAAAGCAACGAAUUGUUGGCCGUUAACAAACGCCGCCAAGUAAUCACCAAUGACCCAGUUCUGGAUAAUUCGGACACGGCACCGUGUGGUUCAAGUUAGCGCACGAGUGGAAGGGAAUAUCAUAGCGUUGAGCGAGUAACCGCGCAGCCACGAAACGCGCAGGACUUGCUUUCAGUAGCGUUACACCUACUCAGCUUCGCAAUCAUUGAAAUUUCGUAGCAAGUGUAAAUAGAAUUUUUUUUUCCUGAAGAUGUAAAAUAAACUUAAUUUAAUAAUCAUCAGUAGAUGAGUUAAUUUUUUUUUGUAGAUGAGUUAAUUAAUACAUACAUCAACAAUAUAUUUAUUUAAACAGCUAGAUGCAAUGUCAGAUAAAGAAAAUGUUAAGAACUUUGAAGUUUGAACUAUAAAUUACUAAAAUAUUAUAUUUGUAUUUAUAUUUCGAUCCACAUAAUUUAUAUGCUAAAUAUAUUCGAAUAGUUGAAAUUAUUUUAUAAUAAUAUAUAUACAGGGCCAGACCUUAAUAUUUUAGACCCUCAAAGAUAUCAAAUGUAUUGGCUCAUUAAUAUUAGCUUUUGAAAAAAAAUUCAAAAACGGAUUUGAAUUUGUGAUCUUCAUUAUGCACACAAAGACAAUUACCAAUAGAGUCAUAGGCAUUUUUACUAACUAUUUACCCCUUAAAUUAUUAAAACAAUUUUAGCCCCAAACACAUAUUUUGAGUAGCUUCUAGUUUUUUUCUUCCCAAAUUGAAAUUCAUUCAUUCACAAAAUACCAGUAUUCAUACAAAAGCCGGCGGCCAAACUAAAUAACCUCAGAACCAAGAGCCCAUAGAAAACGACAACUAGAAUCCAUAUUGGGGCGACUCGAACCCACACAGGGAUGACUUACCAAAAAACAUAAAACUAGAUUGACAGUAGAACCAGGAACAUUUAACAUAUAUGCGUAACACAUCAUAACACCUAGCAGUCUUUCGAAAAGAGAAAAUGCCAAUGAUCAGGAGUUACCGUUGCUGCUUAUAGCCCGCCACCCGGUACCUUCCACUUCUGCAUCCAAACCACACUUAUCGCUGCUGCCUCGCCCACCAAACGAUAAGAUCAAGACCCAGAGACUUCAAAACUCGACAAGGAGAACACGCUAAUCGAUCCACACGCCUUGGAUACAUAAACACUUUACGAUCUCAGAAAGAAGCCCACCCAAACACCAAGACGAUGAAGCCUUGCCAACCGAACGUCUCCAUGAACACUCACGGGAGAAGAACCAAAUGCCAAGCAACCAAUGGACACAUUACCCCUAAAAGAGAGACUGCUAAGUCACAACUAUCAAAACGCUUACUACCUUUUCCAUACCGAUUAAGACUCACAAACACAAAGAUACAAGAGUCCUUUCAACACUCUAAUUAUUGACCAGAGAUGCAAAACACGGGCUUGAUACACCCGCCACUACGACAAGACAUGCUUGAGACACCCACUGUCCUGAAGACCGAAGCCAUCGAGACUCAUCUUGAGAAGAGUUGAAAAACGACUCCGAAGCCGAGAUAUUAAGGCUACCGAAGAACAAAGACAACGACUUCCUCACAUCGCCACGGAGCCAGAGACCAGAACCGCGACAGGAGACUCACUUCAAUGACCAUCCACCGGCGGAACGGAAACAGAUCUGAAAAUUGUCCGCCAGAUCCAACAACUCGAAAAACCGACUCCACCUCUUCCCUUGACACCACAACCACGUCUAGACACCGGAGACGACCACCAUCCUUCCGAUCUGUCACUGGAUCUCCAGAUCGAAGGCCCUAAACUCCGACGGCGCUCUAGGGUUUCGACAAAAUGGCUAUAGGACGAAGGGUUGAAGGAGGAGCAAAUAUAAAAGAGGAAAGGGUUAGAGGGGAGCCACCGGCGAAGGUGCAGAGGCCACCAACGCCAGCGUAGAGAGAAGGAAGGGUUUGUUCGCAGUCUCCGCUUUGUUUGCCGCUUUCAUGUGUAUUUCUCUGUCCUUGUUACAAUGAGUAGCUUCUAGUUAGGCCGGCAUAUAUAUAUAUCACAAAUUGGGAAACUAAUAAUAAAAUUCUUUAUUCGUUUCAAAAUAAUCCAUGUGUUAGAGUUUUCAGACAUUAAUAAAAUACUAGGGGGUUUUCCGGGCUACGCCCGGAUUUUUUUCCUAUAAUAUUAAUUUUUAAUAUGAUAGUAAGAAAAUUGUAUUUUUAAUUUUAAUAUUUGAGAUCAAAAUAGAUUUCACUGCAAUAUCUUUUUUCAUUUUUCCUUAUUUUUUAAUUUCCUUUUUCUGUUCCUAACUUAAUUGGGUUUGAUUGAUCUUUAUAAUGUAUAUAACUCAAUUUCCUCAACAGCUUAUACAAAUAUUGGAUCUGGUCAUCUGCUUGGGAGUUAGCCUUCUCAUUUUCACCUUUAUAAAUACAUAAUAGUUUUGAAUGAUUUCCCAAGUUCUGAUACAUAUACACACUCUUUUUUGUAUCUUAUUUGUCAUAGAGUCAAAAACAUUGAACUCAUGUGAUAUACUAUUAAACAAAAGUACAAAGUGAACUGAAGAAGCAAGUUUCCACUAUGAAUCCCUUAGAUCGCAAGAAUGACUUUUUAUUUUUAAACUCUAAUUUUCCGAGUCUCUACUUGUAAUGUCGCUAUUCUAUAGUUCAGAAGCUAGAUCGCAAGAUGACUAUAUGGCUCAACCCUAUAAGCUAUGAGCAACACACUAUACCAUAUCCUACCGCGGCUUAGACAUCCUUUGGCUUGGAAAAGACAAAAGCCACAAAUCUCAUCUAAAACUCGUAAAGCAUCAGCUCUAAUGAAACUAAAAUGAUCAAACAUUGAACUCAAAAAAAGAGAUCAUUGUACAUAGUAUAGCCAACACAGAUCAUAAGAAAGAUAGUCAAUGAUGCAAAGAUAAAGUCUGAAAUUGGAAAAAAAAAAACAAAGCAUAGAGUUUCAGUAACCAUAAAACCACCACUUAACACACCUUAGCCACAUUUGGCUCGCUUGGGAUCUUCUGCCUCAACAUUAUCAGCAGUUCUUUUCACCCCCUGACCAUCAGAUUCUUCAAAACGUGUGGAAGGACCAUCCUCAGCAACUCCCUUCUGCAAAGGUUCAUGGGCAUCUGGUAAAAUCACAUUUCCUACUAAAUUGCCUUCAAGUUCUAGAACUUCUGGAGUGAGCACCUUUGUCACAGUCAAAGACUGGGUCUUGCCGGUCAAAUUGUGAUUUGAUACCUUCACAAUGAAUUUGUGAGUCUGUCCUAUGGAAUCGAUCAGAGCUUGAGGCACCGGGACCAAAUGAUCAUCUCCUACAUCCUCAUUGGCCUAACAUACACUUAAAACAAUUAUUACUAUAUAUUUCUAAAUAUAUGGGGGAGAAGACAGUUUCACAUAACAAAGAAUGGCAGGUUUGCAACUACCUCGAAAUAACUCUCAACCAAUUCAGAAGCUUUCUUUCCAGUCAACUCAUGACCAGCAUCACCAAGGAGAACAAAAGACGCAUGAUCAUCAUUAUCGUAGACAGAGAUCCUGGCUAAGUACCUGUGUCAUGGGCAGAUUAUCAAUGAAUGUAUUGAAGUAUGAGUGUAUGUAAAUCUGAGCCACUUACUGUGCAACACCAACAAUAUCGCUUUUCCCACAUUUUUUACACAUAAGGGUGGUAGGCCCUUUGGUUGCCUUAGUAUGGCACACACCACAGCCUAUGUAAUACCAUGCUGAACCAUGCGCAACAUCACCAAUGGUUGCUAUGCACUCGAACCAAGCAACCUGCAAAAUAUUAAACAAUUAAAUGAGAAACUAUGACUAUCAUAUUGAAUGUGUUAUUCAUUGGCACUGUACGACCUUGGCAGCUUCUUGCUUCAUAAAGGAAAAGAGCUCGCCUAUAGUCACUGUCUCAGUCUUAGUGACAACGUCUGCAUCAACUCUGUUAGCAACAGCUAAGUUCGAGUUCAACCUGAGCAAACAUCCAAACAUCAAAUACAAUGAUGGAAUAACAACGAACAACAUUUAAUAAAGGAAUGCUUACCAAGUGAGAUAAUCACGGGUUGCUUGGACAUCACUGUCCAAAAAUACACGUGAUGAUGUCAUAGUGGAGAGAGUUAGGGCACCUAUAACAGAUCCAGUGUUAUAAUACAGAGUCAAAAUUUGAUGUAAAAUGAGAUGUAUAAUAAUAUAUAUAUAUCCAUAAUAUUUGUUAUCUCAGAACAUAACGGUUCCCUCAUAGCUAAUAAGCGCCAAUUUCUAUCAAAUGCAGUCAUAUUAGUUAAAACUAACAUGACCAGAUAGAUUCAUUAACCAUCCUAUGUACUUCUUAAAACAAUAAGUAAAGUUGAUAAUACGAACCUCCAAAUCGUUUCGGGUUUAAGGUGGUGACCAAAAUAACACGUGCAGUUCCUCCAGAUGCUUUAAUUUUUCCACUAAAGUCAAAAGCAGCCUUAUCCCAUAGGUACAACUUCAUCACCGGACCACUACAACAUCGAAAACUCGUGUGAUAAGAGAGACAAAAGGAUGGAUGAAUUUACCAAAAUGAAAAGUAAAAAGAUACAAAUUAGCUUACUCAUGAGUUUGAACAUGAAGCAGAACUCGGCGGGAUGAAGCUAUCUCAGCAUCAUCUAUCACGAUACUGUCACUAAGAACCUGCCCAUUCACAAGUUUGAUGUGGCCAACAUAAUCUGCAAAAUAAAACAAUCAAACUCAAUGCUUUAUAUUUUAUAACCCAGCAACGAAAUCUAAAAAUGUAAGUCGGGAUCAAAACACAAUCCUAGCCAACAAUGCUGAAUAUAUUUGAUCGAUUGAAAACAUAUCAUCUAAGAUCAGAUUAAACAUUAUCCUAUACAACAGUGAGGACCUACCAUAAAGAUCCCCUUUCAAGUCGCAAGCAGCAUCGAACUCCUCAUAUCCACGGAACCGGAAACGGUCCUCAGGGAUACAAACCAAACUGUCCUCUAGAUCAGAGAGGACAGAAGUCGAUGAGAAGGUGAUGGUGACACUUGGGUCGGCUACCCGAUACAAAGUCUUGUUCUUAGACCCGUAAAAACUGUUGAGCCUGUAAAUGCCACCAGCUUCCAUGUGUGGCAAAUAAGUCUCUAUCCUCCCAGCUGGAAUGAAGCCCUGGAUAACAGUUUCCUGUUAACAACAUUAAACAAAUUAAAUCAGAAAUGCUAGAGAGGAAAUCUUAAAAAAAAAACAUUAAAGAUAUAUAACCCGUACUGCAUUAAGCGAACAAAAGAAUAAAACGAUAAUUUGGAUUUAAAAUGAUUUAUCAGUAUCUCAGCUAAACAAUUUUUAAACUAAACUGUAAUAAAGAAUACGGUUUAUUACCUCUUGGUCGAUGAGAAGCAUCUCGAGACCAAUAAUCACCUUCGUCAGAACAUUUCUAGCUUCCCAAAAAUGGAUCAACCGAAACCUCAACUCGCCUUGAUUAGGUCCGAAUUUCACAUCUUUGAAAGCCAUCACUUCCCCAACAUCGGAGACAAUGGCUUUUCCCUUGACGCCAGAGGAGACAGCAGCUUUGCCUCUGACGCCUGAAGAGACACCGGUCUUCGUGGUGUGAAUGAUCGUACCUGCAGAUGAAUAUGAACGUUGCCAUCAUCAAAAAAGGAAACUCAACUCUGUACCACAAUUACAUAUGCUUUUUAAAUUUCUGAAUAAUCAAAUAUAAUGAUUAUAAAAAAAUUAUAUUGUUCAUCUCAUUAUCUUAAAUCACAAAGCUGCAGACUCUAUAAUUUUUUUUGGCAAUCAAAAAAAUUAUAUUGUUCAUCUCAUUAUCUAAAAUCACAAAGCUUCAGACUCUAUAAUUUUUUUUGGCAAUCAAACGGACUAUAUAAUUGGACAACGAAACGCUACGGGUUCUUACCAUUGAGGUUCUUGCCGAUGGGUUUAGUCAGACCGGAGGAGACCGACGUCUGGCCUUUGGCUGUCUUCGAGUGGGGAUCGCCGAUCGUGAGGCCGGAAGAGACAUAGGGUGCACCGAUGGGCUUGAUCGGUCCGGGUAAGGAGUCAGCCUCAACGCCUUUUGGUUUCUCCGAGUUGGAAUCACUUGCAAACGUGGAUUUUCCGAUGGAACUCAUCGCAAUGUACUAAUGAGAAUAGACAACGAAGCUUAAUCGGAAUAAAGCUCUGAUCAAGAGUUUUAUAAAUUAAAUCUGAAUGAGAAAAGCCUAGAGAAGCCAUAAAUAAAUGAGGGUGAAGGGAGAUGUAUCGAUUGUUCGUUUGUCAGAUCGUGAAACGGAAGAAGAAGUGGAAGAGCAAAGGAACAGAACAAAGAAAAGGAAGAGCAAAGGGGUGAUGAAUCGAUCUGAAAAUUAGGGUGCGUAGAAAUGAGAAAGGGCGAGAUCAAGAGGUGAGGUAUCAGAUGUCCGUCUCGCAAAUCUGAUGGGCUACAUGGGCCAAUAAUGUAACACGACAUAUUAACAAAAGAAAUCGGUAAGCCCAAGUUAUACAACCACAAUCUAACGUGGAAAAAAACUGUAAUGUGAUUGGACGAUUAUAAUGUCCUACGUGGACAGGCUCUCUGAUCAGCUUAUUCCCCUUUUAAUACUUGUUUGAUAUUAUUAUUUUUAUAUAAAUUCAUUAUUAUGGUGACAAAAUGCAUUAUUUUUAUUAACUACUUUUUACAAGUUUUAGUAAAUAACAGUACAGUAAAUACUAUUAACUAUUUCGAAGUGUCUAAUUUACCUUUACUACCUAAUAAAAAGCAUAUUGAAAAUAUAAAAAAAUGUAUAUUUUAUAACAAUUUUUUAAAACAUGGAUUAUUUUGAAACGAGUAAAGUAUAUAUUUAAGUUAUAACUUUAAAAAUAGAAAACAUUGAAAAUUAUAUAUUUUGCCCCGUUUCUAAUAAUUGUGGCAUUGUUCAAAUUCCCUAAACGUCAUUUAUGAGAAACUUUGAAUCAAACGAGGCAUGAAUGCAUGAUGUUACUAAUUAGUAAUUACAUACCCACACGGAUUACGAUUAUUUUGUGGCAAAUUGAUGUGUAAGUGUAUACAAAGUCUUGUGUAAUUUACGAUACUUGUCACAUCCUUAAUGAUUAAUUAAUUAUUACAUCGAAUCCCUUGACUUCACUCAAACACAUUCACGAUGACGCCAUCUGAUGCAACACAAGAAAAUAUUAAUACACACACAUAUACAAUAUAUAUACGUGUAAAACAUGAGAUUCUGUUAGCGAUUAUAUAAGUUCCAUUUUCCCCCAUAGUUGUGUCUUCUUGUCCUAACCACGCUCUUCAAUAAAGUCAUUUCCCUAACGUUCUUGGCAAAGAUAUUUUCGACCUUUCAAUGUCAGAAGAACUUCAAGAAUCAGAGGUUAUAUUUUCCGAUGAAUAUUAUACCAGGAACAAGAACAAGAGUAGCAUCGACGAGAACAACAAAACAAAGACGACGGCGAUGGAGAAAAAGUCAUCUCCGGUGAGAAUCCCGUCGAGAAGUAUUUUCCGGCGUGCGGAGGAGGAGGAAGAGGAGGAGGGAGAGAUCACUCCGCCACAUAUAAUCAUCGGAAAACGAAGAAUGGAGGCGCAAAUGGCGUUUUCCUUUUGUACACUCAAAGGGAGAGAGUUGAGUCGUCACCGUAACUCCGUUCUUAGGAUGACCGGUUUUUUGGAAGUAUAAUUGAAAACAUUUCCGGUUUAGUUUGCUCUAGUUUGGUUCGGUUUCAUAUCGUUUUUCUCAAUUCUUCCUUUGGGGUGUAUACAACAGCACAGAAAAGAAACAACGGAGAACGAUUUUUUCCUUUACUUGCUGAAUGAAAGUUUCAAGUAAUAGGAAUAUAUUUUCCCAUGUUUUAUCAGGUAACAGUAAGAUGUUAAUCUUUUAAUAUUAUUUAUAUUAACUUAUUGUUUGGUUUCUUGAGAAGAGGAAAAACCAUAAGAAUCAAAUCUUAUGUUUAAAUGAGUUAUAUAUGGGUUUGCUUGUGAAGUAAUUGGUUUCUUGGCUUGUAAAAUUUGUUUUUGGUCCACAUCCGUGGGAUUCUCCAAUCUGCUUGCUAACAUGAACCAUAAAACUUUUUUUCGCUAUUGUGAACUCACCAGAAAAUCGACAUCUGGGAAAGGACUGUUAAAUUAAAUACAUGAUUUGUUUAAAUAAACCAAAUUGAUACCUUAAAAAAUCAAUCUUACUUUUGGUUGGGUAUAUGCAGAUGAUCCAAAUAUAUAUACUAAUCAACAUGGACUUUAUUUUAUGUUCAUGGAACGUUACAUGUCAUCUAUUGAACACACGAGUUAAAAAAAGAAGUAGUUGCUUAAUUACAAUUUAUAAAGUUCAGAUCAAUUAGUCAUUCGAGUAUACGACUAGUCACGAAUGACUAAUAUAUCUGAACAUAUAAAUUGUCAGCAACUACGACUAAUCACUCGUAUACUCGUAGUGUAUGUUUAACUUCAACCUAUUUAUUCAUUAGCUCCUUCCCUAUCUUUAGCUUUUAUUGGUCCAUAAGGACUACCAUUUUUUAUUUAGAAUUGGCUUCCAUAAGGACUACUUUACUACUAGAUUAAGGCUGGUAUAAGCUUAAACCUAUUUCUCAAAAGCUACGCUCUCAAGCUAUAUGACCGUUAGUCAUAUCCAUGUAAAAUUUAUUUUGCAUUUUAAUAGAAUACCAUUAAACAAUAUAAAUAGAAUACCAUUAAACAAUAUAAGGUAAUAAAAAAAUAAAAUAGCAGAUUAAGAUUUUUAUGGUAUAUAAUAACGCAACAAUGAAGCUUACGUUUUGGUAGAUUUCGAUUUUUUCAUUAACUAUAAAAUUUUAACAUGUGUGCUCUAUAUAAGAAAUAUUUUAAAAUGUAAACGUGAAAACAUGUUGAAAUCUAUAACAAAAACACUAUAUAUAUACAUACUCGGGAAUCAAUUCAACUAAUUAAUGCUAUAGUUCAGCCGAUACCACCGGCGUGGACCGGUUCCGCCUCCGUCUUUUCCGUGCUCUAUGCACUUUGGUAUGACUACCACCAAACUUCAACCGUCCUGUAUCCCUAAACCGGUCCUUCUCAGCUGUUAAAAUCACGCAUUCCGGCGGAGGUACCGCGUAUCGUACGGUAUCAUAACAAUACGAAUAAUACAUGUAACGCUCUCUGAACCGUCGCAUUGCAGCUGCUUGUUUAGGACUAAUGGUUGAGUAAUCGCUGGUCAUGAGAAGUUGGUCCGAGGCAGAACAAUUGAUAUUGUUGUAGUUAUCUCUGGUGACGGUGGUUAGUGACUCGGAGACAUUACAACCGUCAAGAGCAAUGUCUUUGAACUCAGAGACAAAAGGUGAAAAUGUGUAAUCGACUCCGAAUUUACCGCCGGAAGUAGCCCAGCUUGAGGCGUCCCAAAUGGUUGCGUAGAGAGACAUUGGCUUUUGCGGGUAGUCUCCUUUCAUUUCUUCUUUUCUUUUGAUUUCUCUAAUUGGCACAUCGUCUACCCAAAAUCUGUAAAUUAUAAAUUAAACAACAUUGUUAUAUAUUGAAUUUUAUCUUCCAUAUUUUUCCUAGGCUAAUUAGAGCAAGUUUAUCAAUAUGAUUUUCAAAUCUUGUGACCUAAACCGAUUCAGUCUUAAUCAAACUAAAUGUGAUCAUAUUCGUAUAUAUACUAUGCAAAUCCAGAAAUAAAUCCAAAGUGAACAGGAUCAUUACUCUCAUGCGUGUAAAUGAGAAUACAUUUGAAAUAUGUGUUUGCCGUGUACAUAUUGCGGUUACAUUUCAUGCACACUAUGAAAGCUAUUCAAAACCACAUGCACUAUCUUUUUCUUGACUUGAAAAACUACUUUUCUAGAUCACCUAACAAUGAGUUUAUUUUUUUUUAAAUUAGCUCGAAACAAUACUAUUUUACUCUCCAAAUCAUUUACCUAACAAUUUUUAAAACAAUGAUUAUAAGUUGUUGAGAAACAAAAGAGUGAGAAAGAGGAAACUAACAUUAUUUUGGUAGGGUUCCAAAGGAUGCUAUAACGGUGAAACUCCUUGGAAGGAUCAAACCAAAGACGGUAACGUUCUUCACGGCCACGGCUUGUGCUACCGUUUCCAUACAUAUUUGUCUGAAACCGCCACGGCUUCCCUUCAACGUUCCCUAAAAACUCUAUGUCUAAUUCGUCGUGGUUCUUCACAAACACAUCGCCGUUUGAUGUCUGGAUUGAAUGUUACUUCACAUCCAAUCACUUUUACUAAAUUUUAAGAAAUCGAAAAAGAUUAAUGACUUACAUAGAAGGCGACUACAAGACCGGCCGUGUUAGCUCCUGGCAACUUUAUCAACGAACUGAAAAAUCCAUGUUGAUACAUGCUUGAAGAUAUGAAUCCUGACCCUAUGGAAUUCAUUUAUAUAAUUAAUUUCGUAUUAAAUCUAUAUAAUUAAAAACCCAACGACUUUAAGUAGUGACAUAUUUUCAAGAAAAUUUAUUAACAAAGUUGACAAACGGUGAAAUAAAUAAAUUGAGUAUGUCACAUCAUUUGCUUUUACAUGAACAUGAUGAUUGAAUCUAGAUCAAGAUUUUGCAAAAGUCCUUUUUUUUUUAACUUUAAUUUUGCAAAAGUUCAUGUUUGGUAAAAGAUGGUAUAAUCGCAUGAUCAUGUGAAAACCAUUAUAACCUGAUUGAAUGUAUGAUACAAGAUGGUUUAAUCGCAUAAGUAUGUUAUCACCAUCGAGUUACCAUUCCAUUCAUAUCCAUUACUAUAAUGUCCAUGCAACUCACAAAAUUAAAAGUAGAGAUUAUCAUCAUUAUCAAAAACCUAAAACUCGAGUCUCUUAACGUGAAACUAAUUGUAUUUCUUGAGAAAUCUUUGUACUAAUAAUAUCUAAAUAAUUACUUGAAAGACAAGAAAAUUACCGGUGUAUUUGUCGAGGAGUAAUCGAACGCUGCGAUCAUCAGGAGAUCGAAUGAGAUUAGAUUCACCAAAUAAAUGAGAAAGACCUUCAUCGAAGAAUAUGGGAUUUAUGUUCUCCAAUCCCAAAACACAUCUCCAAGAAACGAUCGCCAUCAUCAUCACCAUCACCUUUAGUCGAUAUUUUAAAUCACUCAUAACUUCUUUUGUUCUCUUUGCAAUUUUGAAACACAAAGAGAAGAUUGAUUUGUUUUUCUCUUUCUAUGACUGGUCUAAGAUGUUUGUUAUUGGUUUUCUUCUCUUAUGAUGGCGUCAAAGUGGGAACAAAGACCAUAGAAUUGUCUAAGUUUUGCUCCUAUAUAUAUACUUUCUUUUUUGGUUCUCAACUAGUUCCUUUGCCAACAAUAGAUAAGUAAAUGUCACUAUUGUUAUAUAGUAACCUACUAAACCCAUCUUGAACUUUUACAUUAGACUUUUUUAUAUAGUAAAGAUAUAAUUCUAGAGCCGGUUAAUUAAAAAUGAUUAAUAAUUUAACACGUUUUUGAAAGAAUGGCGUGGAAAUAUGUUAAAAAAGAGUUAAUACCAGAGAUAGUGAUGGCUGGAAGAUCAAUUGCAAAAUCCUUGGUGAAUACUAGAGAAUGAAUGCUAUUAUAAAAAUAAAAUAAAAAGUUGUUUAUCCGUUUGGGUUCAUAAGAUAUAUUCAAACUCCCAAAACGUUUAUACAGAGAGAGUAGCAUUCAGACAGAGAACUUGACGCCUUCAUCAUCUGCUGAUGUUCCUUUAAACAAUGCAAGCUUGCCUUUGUUCUCUAGCAGCUUCAAGGCCCUCAUUAGAAUAGUCCUAUCAAUCCCUUCAAGUUCUGAAAAGAAAGAGAACAUAUUAGCAUUCACAUUGUACAAAACAACAACAACACCAUACUUAUACUAUUCAAAGCUAAUAAAACAAAACAGAGCAUGUACACUACUAUUCAAGAUACAAACUUGAAGCAAGAUGUGGAGAUUGAACAUAUAGCUAAUGAAAGAUUAAAUGGAAUCACCAAACCGGUGGUUAUGUCAAUUGAACAAUACACAACACAGAACUAACCAUGGAGAGCUUACAGAUGGUAAAUGAGUUUGAGAACAUGUCUGUUUCAAAUAUCUCAAAGUCUGAGACAGGUUUUUGUCAACUAACAAUAAAUCCCUAACUAAAACCGCCGAGGAUAAGGUGAAUCGGUCUGGAGAGUGGUACCUGACUCAGAGGUGGUGAUGAACAAUGAAGAUGAUUGAUGCCUUGAUAGAGAGAAAAAAAAAAGCGAAGACGAAUGUUUCUUUUUUUUGGAUUGAUUACUUCCCCAAACCAAACCGGCUAAAAGGCUUGUUCAAAAUUCAAAUAGACAAAUCCAAACCAGAGAAAUAACUAAACCGUAAUUGACAAAUUUAAAACAAGAGAAGAACCAAACCGAGCUAAUAAAAUCAGAAAAUAACAUUAAAAAAAAGAAGCAUGGAGAGGAUGAGAUAUAUUCAGAAAAUAACAUUCAAAAAAAGUUUUCACACAAAAUACAUCUUUGUGCUUUGUCUCUUCUAAAGUAAACUUGACUACUCAUACGUCCAAUUAAUGGGGGCACUUACUAAGCAGGCAUUUACACUAUUGACGCAUUGUAAAGAGGAUAUAUAAACAAACUUUUUUUUAACUAUGAACUGAUGUUACAGAAAUAAACAUUGAUGUAUCGAAUCAAGAAGAAGCUAAAGAAGUGAGCAUUUCCAAAGAGCCACCAAACACUUCUUUUUUUUAUGUGACAGAACAUAUAUGAAGUUUGAUGGUAAUUUCUCAAGGGGGGUUGUUAAGGAGUCAUACACUAUAUUAUUAACCUGACUCCAGAUUUGGAACUAUAGCCGAAGACAGCUCUAUAUGCGAGACCCGAACCGCACCUAUAAGCCUCUCCGGCAAUUCUUCCGGUGCAUUUGCCUGCCAAAACCAAACCAGAUUUGUUGUAUAAUACAAUAACCCCAACUACUUGAGAGCAAAACUUAUAACAUUAUGUGUCCGUUUGUCACCUGUACAAGGAAAGCCAUUUCGACACCCAACGAUGUGAUUACACCAAUGACGAGGCCCAACACUCCAUUCGCAACAGUUGAUGAACCAAUAUCCACAUCAAUCUACACACAUGAACACGAUGAAUCACUGAGUGAUUAUUGUUUACAGAGAGCUUUGAAUUCAACACUAUACAACUUCACUCACUUCUAAGUAUGUCGGGCCACGAAUGUAGUUGCAGUCCACUGCUUUCCCUAGGAGACAUGGAGUGCUUCCCACGCUUUGCCUUACUAUCCAUGACCCCUUGUAUAAAUUUCGGUUAAAUAAGGAAAAAAUGUCAAUAUACUUGUUAGUUGUAAUCACAAAGAGAAAGAGAAAUAAACAUACCUUAGGAACUAAAGGUAUAAGCUUUAGCCGACUAUUCCGAAAUUCAUCAUCACCAUCCACAAAUCGUUGCAAUAGAGACCCUGGUACAAGUUCUUUUGUCACAAAAUAAAACACCAUACUGUAGUGUGUUGACCCUGGAACCUAUACAACCAAAUAUGACUUUGAGGUUUGUACAUUAUGUUCUGAAUCUUAAUAAUAGUUUGGUUGGCAGAACUUACUUGAACAUUUACCACCAUUGAGAAUAGACCUUUCUCUGCAGCAACCUGAACACAUUUAUCAAACGACUCAAUAAUCAUGGAGAUACCUUUCUAAGAUGAAUCCAAAGGCAAGAGAAUAGUAUGGGAAGGGAAGUAUUUGAAGAUUUGAUUGUAAUAGUCUCUCCUUUAACUAACUAAAGAAGGAAGUUAACGAACAAAAGUCAAGUUGUAAUGUAUCUUACUUGUGCUGCACAGCCCUUACGUCUAGCCACAUGAUCUAUUCUUUUACUGUCUUUGAACCAAUCAACAGCAACGAGAUCCAUUAGAUUCUUCCCAGCAGGAAUCUUCAGCAUAUGAUUAAAUAGACAGGAACUGAAAUUAGCUGGAUACAAGAACCGAACCAUUCUAAAGAACUAAGUCAAAAAGGUUUACCGACCUUUCUUUUAUCAUCACAGAAGUUCUUGCUACGAACUUUGAAGUUGUUCCCAUCAGAAGUCCUCCAGCAGUUACGUGCAUUUUCAUUUUCAUUGCGCUUUAGGUUACCGGAGAAGCAUGACAGAUCAAUCUUGUGAGCAGGUUCUUCUUCUGAAUUUUCAAUUCACAUAAAACUAUUAGAUCUCAGGGUAGAAUUUUUAUACUUAAAUCAUAAGGUGCUCGCCUGUUUUCUUGACAUCAGUCUCUAUCUUACUUGUUUCACCCUGAAAUUGUACACAAGAAUGACGAUUCAAUACCACAUGCAGCUUAAUAUUAGAUGAUGAAAAGGCUUGAUAUUCAAACCUCUUGUUCUGAUUCAGCUAUCUGAAACUCAUCAUCAUCAUCUGAGUCUUCAUCCAUGAGCACAGAGUUUCUGUUGGCGGCAUUUGUUUGAUCAACAGAAAAGGCAGACUGAUGCAGAGACCUUCCACUCUUUCUCAAGCUCAAGGAAGAUGAUGCCAUGUUAACCAUAACAGGGAUCCGGGUAUGAACACCUCUCUCAUCUGUCUGUGAAAACCAUUCCCGCAAACCUGUGAUGUUACAACGGAUGAUAAUAAGUAGCCAGUGGGAUUCUCGUACCCUAAGGACCUGAACAAACCAGCGGAAAGGAAGCAUGAGAGAACUUACCAGCAACACUAUUCAGCAUCUGAAGAAGGCAAUGUUGUUGAAAUGCUGGAAGGUAGCCUGCACCCCACCCUUUCAGAUCAAUUUGUAUUAGAUGUUGCACCUGUGUUCUUGGCCUCCCAUUUCGUGGCUUUAGUGGGGCAAUAUUAUAUCCUCCACCUAAGAUAAACAAAAAACUAACAGGUUAGAUAUCAAUACAUCAAACAUUUAGUUAAUGCUGAGAUAUGUUUAGGUUCAUAAACUUACUCUCAAGAUGAGCACGGACACAACCAGGUUGUGGACCACAGUUAUCAUGCUCCCUAGAACGGAACAACACAACUUCACAGAAAGAGCGAAAUAAAUAACCGACAAGCUAUUAUAAAAACUACCUUUCCAGAUUAUAGCAUGAGUAAAGGAGGAAAGAAAGGUACCAUAACUCCCAUCAUCAUUCCGGCGCCAAUAGCGGACAUAACAAAGGUCACGAGGCCACACAACCCUGGAGCCAUUUGAUAUAAUUAGGAUAAAAGAAUCAAAGUAAACUAAAUGGUAGAAAAAAAAAUCAACGACAGCAUACAAUCUAGGCCCUUCAGGACAACCGAGUCUAUUUAGCUAGAGAUGUAUCAAAUUAUCACUUGUCAGUUAUUCAUUAAUAGAUUAUGUUCGGAAGGAGUGACUGUAACUGGACGAUGAUAUUUUAGGUGCAACAUUACAUUGGAAACCAGUCGAGCAAAAGUCUAUGAUAGAGCACUGCUGUGUGACCAUCCACCUCUUCCACUAAGCUACCAUACUGAAAGCUGCAGUCCCACCUGCACCCCACAGGGAAAGAAAAAAAAGAGGAACAAAAAUAACUUCAGGUACAGACCAGAACACUUAGAACAAAACACUUCUGGAUGCAUACUAUAGACAGAAAUGAAGAAAAAUGAACACCGUGCAGACAUGGAGAAACAGAAAGCAGAGAAGCACCUACUCAUAACGAGUGCCAUCCAUGCUCAUCACAAGUUCGAAUACUUCCUCACAUGUUGCCUCCACUACUCCAACAGCUUUCAUUGCCCUGCUGUAGCUUCUCGGCUGCACAUGUAGCACUCAAAUUAGCGGUUCUUGUCUAGAUAAAGUUUCUACAUAAUCAGCUGGCAAUCACGCCACAAAGAUGACAAGCUAUUAGAAACUUCCAUACAAGGUAAUCAACUUCAAGAAGCUCUUCAAAAAUCCGAAGACCUGUAGAAAAAACAGAAAACAAAGAAAGAUUAAGGUCAAAUUCUAGCUCUUUCCUUUACCAGUUCCUAUAGAAGAUAUAGCAGAUAACUAAGGAGAGCGCUUGAUUCCACAAGUUCCACACAAGAUAUAUAAUUUUGUGAUUUAACAUGGGAAAAUACUAAACGAUGUUGCAUUGCAACCCUGCAACACCACUAACCAUUUUGGCACUGAAGAAGACGCCAGUGUUUUCUAGAGAAAGCUUGGUUAUCAGAAUUCUGGUUCGCCAACUCUGCAUCAAACUCCUUAGUCCAGUCAAGUACAGAUGGCGGGGGACCUGCACAUUUGCUUGAGGUGAUUAGAUUACAGUCAGGACUGCAGCUGACCAGAUUAGCUCAUGAAUAAAUGAUUUCGGAACGAACCAUUCCCAAUAGUUGUCCGUCUAACUAAACGACGCCUAGAGUCAUCUUCAUCCUCCGGUGCACUGAAUCUUAAUAAAAUUGAAAAUAUUUAGUGCAUAACUAUAUGCAUAUUACAUAUCAGAUAGGGACUCACUGGCUUUCAUAAUCUGAAGAUGAAGCAGUCCUUCCAGUAUCCAUUCCAGACUUAUAUUCAAAUGCAACAUAUUGCUGACCAUUUGGAACUUGAGACUCUUGAUGCUGCGCCAGUGCAAACACACAGUGAGGUAAAUCAGAUAAAAGCACCAAUGUACGCAAGUCUAGAUAAGUAAAUAGGCAUAUGACAGACCUGGUCUAUAACAGACUCAAUUUUCUCCUUCCACAUAAGUGCUUCCUGGAUGUUGAACGCUGCCAUCUAGCAAAGAAUAUACUACUCCAUGAUUAACUAACAAGGUAAAAGGUAGUGGUAGCUAUUUUGGGAAGUAAAGAGAAGAUACCGUUAUUCUAUGGUGCUUUUCUUUCUUGUUAUAGACAGACAACACGUAAACCAUCUGCAGAAUAGAGUUGACAGCACAAACAAAUUUAAACGGCAUUAGUGAUGGUACAGUCAAGGUUAUGAUAAAUAGGAAGUAAACUUGGCAUGAAGAACCAUCAACUGAUUCACAACAAACAUUAUCAAAUGUCUUUAAACUGCAGAAAGAGAUUGUAAAUGCUGUAAAAAGCUGCCCUUGCUUUAGAUGACCUCUCUAAUUUAUUUGUUUAAGCUGUGGGAAUUUUAUAGCAUACAUAUAAGCAACAUGUGUGCAUUAAAUGUUAAUAUUCUCAAGAAACAUGGAAUACAUUUGCUAACCAAAUUUAGUUGAAUCAAGUAUUCUACAUAUUUACUUAGCUCAGAUAAGUUUUCCUCACAACUAAGAAAAUAUUUCUCUACCAAGCAGCCACUCCUACUUCCUAUAAUAGAAGCCUUCUUGUCCUACUCAUUAAGCCGGGAAGAGAAAAUAAGCCUAAAUUUUUUUCUGAAAACCAAAAAGGCAAAGAGAUGUAUUUAUAAGAAAGCUAGCUUAAAGACAUCAUAUCAAGAUGAGUGGUUGCAAUUCACAAAACCAUAUGCCAUCAAUCUAUAAACCCUUGUGAGUGACAAAAUAGUAACAGAAAGAGUAAAGUUAAGACUACUGACAUGUCCAUGAUGCGUCUUCAAGCCUCGAUCUUCAACUCUGCAGUUGCCAUCAAUUAACAUGGUCUUGAUAGGAACCUGUAUUCACCACAUGUAGAAAAGCAUCAUCAUUCAUCACUCACCCAUGUACAAGAAGAAAACCCUGAAACUCAAAUGGCAACUACACACACAUCCCAUAAGUUUAUAGUAGACUUUUUUUUCCUAUAAGCAUAGUGCCUUACAGUCUACUCUACUAUCUCACAAACAUACUUGGAAACCCAGAGACAUUUAAAUUAAGAAACCCAAAAGGGAAAGUUUGAAACUUGCAACUAAUACCUACUCAAAACAAGCAAAUCAAACAGAUACAAUUAGAUGAGGUUUAGACCUGAGAAUACUGAGGUUUCUUCUUGUAAUAGGCCAAAAGACGAGGCUCCAAAACGAAGUACCUCAUGUGAAUAUACGACCGUCCGAUCUUCCUCCUUCCAUACCUCACCAUCCACCCUUCGUACACUACCUUUGACAUUCUCCUUGUCCGUACGAGAAGGAAGAACAAGGACACAACUUUCCCCACGGAAAACCGAAACUAUGUGUAUUUCCGCGGGAGAUGAUCAUAUACUACUAGGACAUGACCUGUGUUGUUCAUCGGAGCUCCGGCGCCGGAAUCUGGUGUUGGAUUCCGGCGAAGAUUUUAAAGAGCUCAAAGUUCCGGAGAAAGAAUCAAGUUUGUAGACGACGAAAAAAUAAAGAGAAAGCGAUUCAACUUUGACAGAAACAGAAAAUUGAUUUCUUCUUCAGGACAAAACUGUAGAGAGACAAAGAAACAAAAUAAAAACUGAUUUAAAUGGACAACAAAAACUAAUCACGCCAAAGAUGUCUUCUUGUUGGAUAAACAAACAAAACAUAAUUAAUAUGGUAAUAAAUUUGAGUACUCACUAUAAUUCAUUAAUUUAAAAUUAAGACAUGUCAAAUCAGUUCGAAACACACAUUUCCGAUUUGUCGUCAUGUAUAGCUGACUAUUGGAGGUCGCUGACGGCGAGCUUAUAUUCCGUUAGACACGACGACGUAUCAACAAAUUAGAUGACGUGUGAGCCACAUACCAAAAAGUUUAUUUUUUUUUUUGCAGCGAAUUAUUCCUGCGUCAAAUUUAAAAAACUCGUAAUUUCAAAACUAAUUACAGAUCAAUAACUGCAUUAAUAAUUUUUUUUUUUAAAGAAAUCACAGAUCAAUUUUGCAGUGACCAGAUACGUAUAGAUUUAGCAGUGUAUUGGGUUUUGUUUUGUUGUUUUAUAAACAUAAACAAAUUUGAAAAAAAAAAUAUUACAUGGUCCAGUGGUCUUGCUAUGUGCUGAGCUAACGAAUUCAAAACCUCUUAGUCACUAAAUAAAUGAUAUGAGUUAAAAGAAAACUUAUAAUACAUGAUGAGUAUUGAGUGAAGAGGAUGAAGUGCUUGAAGCAUAACUACACUUAUGCACUCUGUUUUCCUUUACCUAACCUGAACUGUCUGUCCAUAAAUGCUAUUGCCAAACACCAAACCUCGCACAUGUAUCUAUGUAACUGUAACAUGGACUCACACACAAAUGCUUCAGGUUUGUUUCAUAGUGUGCCCUCCAACCAAGACAGGAAAGUAAUUAUUCAAUCAAAAUCUCGACAGGAGCGUCUCAGAUGCUUGAGAUCCUCGUGGUCUAACGUCAUUACAUAGCUGAUGAAUCUCCACGUUUCUUGUCUUUCAAACCUGAAAAUAAAGUUUGACACAUCUUUUACUGUUUUCUCUAUCCACUUUGUCCUAACAAACAAAAUGAUCGAUUCUAUCCACUUAAUAGAACAACAUCUCCAGACUCCAAUCUAGAGAAUCGUUUAUAAUAGCACGAGACUGAAAAAUGUUGGAAUGCUCAGGAUAUAGAAGCCAUAAUUUAUACCUUUUCUUGUAUUAGCAAAACAAGAAAUCUUAAGACAACAAUAUGUCUUAUCAAUGACAAGAAAACAGAUAGAGAAGAGCUUUAAAACAUUAAUAGAGAAAUAAACAUAUAGACAGUGAAAUGUACCUUUGCGCAUAUAGAGAAGAUGGAUCCCAGAGCUUCCACAAUCAUGUGGAAUGAACAAAGGCAAACUUUUCAAGUCAACGGCAUCAUCUAAGAGAGGAGGCUUCUUGUUAAAACCAGAGCACAUCUCACUGACUUGUCUCUUCAACCCAACAAACUGAGGCAUAACAUCGCUCCACCCAUCAAUUGAAAGACUAUUACCAAACAACUUAAUAGCACCCUUUCUAGUUGCUUCUACAGCUAAAAAAAUAACAUGAAAAAGAAGUUCAUCAGACGAAAGAUUACUUGUAAUCAAGAAAUUUCAUAGAAAGAAAGAGAGAGAGUGAGUGUGUGUGUAUCUACUGUUAUAAGGAGCUGCAAGAAGAAGGUUUGUGGGGAGACCAAUGCCAAGACCAGCGAGCGUAAUGCCAACACUGAAACCAACGCCGCAGCCAGCACCGACGUAGCCAAUGACCUCAGGGCCAAAACCAGGUCCCCAUCCGACGCCACAGCCAAUGCCAAUACCCAUUCCCCAAAAGGCUCCAUAAGUAGGAUGAACAGGAUUCCAUUUCUCAUACCUCCUGAAUAUACCCUUGAUGAUCAUCACCACCUAUGAAGUAGGUUUGAAACACAACCGUAAGAUUACCAUUGACCCACUAGAAUGAUGAUCUUCAAUACCCAAAUCAAAUGCACGUUGAAAGCUAUAGACAAUUAAACCAACACUAUGUAUAAUAUCACCAGCAAAGCAUAAAGUAGAUAUGAGAAACCAGUUCACUUGGUGGCAAACCAGACAAAUGAUGAAAACAAACAUUCAGACCAACUGGGAUAAAUCUAAGAAGAAACAGAGACAAAUAACAGAACAGAACAUCUAAGGUUUACCAUUAAUGGAUUGCUGUUUCAGCUUUUCUCUUCCGUUUCGAUCUUGUUCCUUCUUUGUUUUUCACCUUUGAUUGGAUUUGCAUCAGCCUUUUCGCCGACGGUAACCACUCGUCGUUUAGCGCUUGGAUAAAAGGAGGAGAAAAAAAGAACCGGUCCAGCUAUGCUUGACCGUAUAAUUCGACCCGGUUUACCAUCCAAAAAUCAAAAAAUUGAAAUUAAAUCAAUAAUUGGACCGGGUAAAGCGGAUGUAUACCGGAUCCAACUGAACCAGCAUUAGAGGAUAAACCUUAUCCAUUUCCCCCCACUCGAAAACAGAACAGAGAAAGAGAACACAAAAUAUUUUCCUCAAGCAAGAGAGAACAGAACAAACACAGCUCCUUUGAUGUUUUCUUGAAACCAGUACAAGAACAUACUUCAAGAGUGUACAUCUGCCAAUCCCCAAACGCAGCUAUAGCAAUGAUUAGAAAGUACCCAGGUACAACACAAAUAGUCCCAAGUCGAACUUUAUUGCAAACCAUCAAGUCAAUCGUCACGCAUAAUACAAACCAUCACACGACCGAAAGUAUGAAAAGAAAAUGAAACAAGAGCUGCAGACGACACAUGACCGUCGUGUAACUGAAAAGACAUUAAGGUAUUUGAUUUUAUGGACAAACCAGAGUAUAGAGUAAGAUAUUUAUCGUAAAAGUAUUCUUCAGAAGAGGCUUGUGUUGAGGUUUUUUUUAUUUUGGGUCAGCCGGCGACUUUCCUAGAGUAGGCAUUGGUGGUGGAUUGUGUUGGUCUAAUGAACAUGUCACGUGUUUCUCCUACACAUCCUGCCUUCAUCUGCAGCGGC